rnacentral:rRNA from 16 species
UAAAGAAAGCGUAAUAGCUCACUAGUCGAGUCGGCCUGCGCGGAAGAUUUAACGGGGCUAAGCAAUACACCGAAGCUACGGAAUAUAUUAUAGAUAUAUUGGUAGGGGAGCGUUCUGUAAGCUGUUGAAGGUGUAUCGUAAGGUAUGCUGGAGGUAUCAGAAGUGCGAAUGCUGACAUGAGUAACGAUAAGGGGGGUGAAAAACCUCCCCGCCGGAAGAUCAAGGUUUCCUGUCCAACGCUAAUCGGGACAGGGUUAGGCGGCCCCUAAGGCGAGGCAGACAUGCGUAGUCGAUGGGAAGCAGGUUAAUAUUCCUGCGCUGCUUUUUACUGCGAUGGGGGGACGGAGAAGGCUAGGCGAUCGCGGCGUUGGUUGUCCGCGUUCAAGGGUGUAGGUUUAGGACUUAGGCAAAUCCGGGUCCUUUUAAGACUGAGACCUGAUAACGAGCUCCUACCGAGAGGUUCGAGUGAAGUCGUCGAUGCCCUGCUUCCAGGAAAAGCCUCUAAGCAUCAGGUAACAUCAAAUCGUACCCCAAACCGACACAGGUGGUCAGGUAGAGAAUACUAAGGCGCUUGAGAGAACUCGGGUGAAGGAACUAGGCAAAAUGGUACCGUAACUUCGGGAGAAGGUACGCUGUUGACGGUGAUGGGACUUGCUCCCUAAGCUAUUGACAGUCGCAGAGACCAGGUGGCUGGAACUGUUUAUUAAAAACACAGCACUGUGCAAAAUCGAAAGAUGACGUAUACGGUGUGACGCCUGCCCGGUGCCGGAAGGUUAAUUGAUCUGCUUAGCGCAA